CGUACAUCAUCAGGAGCACAAGAAGGGUUCCUUCAAAACCCUAAAACCCACAAAUUCAACAAAAUCAAAGGGAAAUAGAGCUAGAGAAUUGGGGCUUUAACUAAAUUCGUGAUCGCCUCAGUAAAGGGAUCAUAAGACAAAGGAAUCGAGUCUUUAAGCGGACAAACCGGAGUGGACACGCGCUUGAAGGGAAUGCUUUAAAGGUGAAUGUCGAGGGUCCCGGAUGAAGAUCAAGCAUCGAGCAAGAACCAAACACACGUUAAACAAAGCUUCCACAAUGUUGUUUCGCCGUUAUUCUAAAACGGCGAAUUAAACC